rnacentral:rRNA from 1 species
AACGAACGCUGGCGGCAGGCUUAACACAUGCAAGUCGAACGCGCCCUUCGGGGCGAGUGGCAGACGGGUGAGUAACGCGUGGGAACCUACCUCAUGGUACGGAAUAACUCAGGGAAACUUGAGCUAAUACCGUAUGUGUCCUUGUCCUUGAUCGGGCUUGGAGAAAGAUUUAUCGCCAUGGGAUGGGCCCGCGUCGGAUUAGCUAGUUGGUGGGGUAACGGCCUACCAAGGCGACGAUCCGUAGCUGGUCUGAGAGGAUGAUCAGCCACACUGGGACUGAGACACGGCCCAGACUCCUACGGGAGGCAGCAGUGGGGAAUAUUGGACAAUGGGGGCAACCCUGAUCCAGCCAUGCCGCGUGAGUGAAGAAGGCCUUAGGGUUGUAAAGCUCUUUCGCCGGUGAAGAUAAUGACGGUAACCGGAGAAGAAGCCCCGGCUAACUUCGUGCCAGCAGCCGC